AUUCCCUCAACAUAUACAACACACAACCUCCAUUAAAGGACCAUCAAUACACUCUCCAUUUUUGGAUUUCAGGGGAGAAACACUACAUACACCAAAAAUACUCUCCAUAUCCUCAUGAACACACACACAGACGCAUACACACAUAUUACACAUCGGAGAAAAGGGGAAUUCUCAAAGAUAAAAAAAAAUAUGCACAAAGUAGAGAGAGACAUCAACAAAUAUCAUCAUCCUCCAUUUUCUUUCAUCUUCCAAAAAUAUACACACACUAAAAUCGUGACUACACACAGAGAAUAGCACUCCAUCUUUGAACACUUCAUUUUUCUUUCCUUUUCUUCUUCUUGGAACACACAAUUUCCAUGGAGAGAGUUAGAAAUUGAGAGAGAUAGAAAUUGAGAGAGAAUGACAGAUUGAGUAAGACAGAGAAAAGAGAGCUUGAGGGAGAGAAACAGCGAAAGGAGCUCUAUUCCGGUGGUUGAAAAUUUGGGGGGUAGGAUUGUUUUUUUUUUUUUGGUUUAAUUUUACUUUUUAUUAAAAAUAAUCACAUGAUGGACCAACCCAUCUUACAAAAAAUUCAUCCCUCCCAUUAUUCCCAUACCCGGCCCAACCCAAAAACCAAAAUAAAACAUUUAACAUGAGUAGGGUUUCUAAAAUCAAAAGUUUCCUAAACCAUAUUUCAGCUCCACCGCCUCUUGCACUACUGUUUCGCUUCCUCCCGUUGAAGAUGAUAAUCGAUCUUGUAAAUCCUUCUUCAUGGUAUCGUGUUUCUUUCAGCUUACAGAGCUUCAUUCUUCAAUCUUUGCAAAAAUUGAAUAUUGUUUUGCAUCUAAGAAGACCUGAUCUACAGAGUAUACCAGCUAAAUCAAUGGAGAAUUGAUGUCGCAUAUAUUUAACUAUCCGACUCCAUCUCAGAUUUGAAGAGCAAGUAAUUAUUGAUGUCAGAUAUAAUCAGCUAUCCGCCUCCAUCUCAGGUCUUUUCAGAACCCUAUGGUCCAUCUACACUUUUUUGAUGCUGUGAACUAAUUUCUGUACAAGCUUAGUAAAACAUGCACUUUCAUUGAUGAUACAUACUUCUGUAUAUAAAUUACAUGUAAACUAUGAAUCUUGAAUGUUUUCCUGUUCCUUAUUAUCUUACUGGUAUGAUCCUCAAGCAUGGCCUUUGCCAUUUGUCACUA